AGACACUCCACAGAUAAGAGUUUUCCCCAUUCCUUAAUGGAUUCGCCACCACCUCCUAUAUCCAGGCUGAAGACCCUUUAAAUUAUACCUUUCAUCCUAAUUCUUAUUCUUCCUCCCGGUCUGUAUUUCCUGUUUCCCACUCGGAGACAUAGCAAGCCCCCAAUCAUCUUACAUCUGAGCCGUGAUUCCCAGUUCUUUGUACUCUCAAUGCCACCUUUGAUGCCGUCUUUUAGUCUUUCAGCUUACUUCCUUAAAAUCAUCUCCAUUUCUUUCUCCCUCUGCUUUGCUCAGACAUAAUGCAUGCAGCAUGACUGUCUUUCCUGAGCCACUGGAAAAAAGAGCUUUCCAUUUCUAGUGCCAUAUUUUUAAAAGAAUGUUGGAAAUCAGAGCAGAUUGAUCAGGAUGAUGGGAGCCUGGAAACUGGCAUAUGAGAGAAUGAGUUUGGUGGUCGUUUUUUUUUUUUUUUUUUUUUUUUUUUUUGCCUUAAGAGCAGAAUUCUAAGGUUUGUCAGUGGGAAGAGAAGGUCCUUUGCUCUGUGUCCUUCAAAAUGCAGACCUGAUCCAUAGAAAGUGAAUUUCUGUUCAACAUAAGGAAAUGUUGAGGAUGAGAGUCCCAGCCAGUGAGGGUUUUGUUCUGUCACUCUUGCCAGA
rnacentral:lncRNA from 10 species